UUCCUUGAAGCAGAGGGGCUAUGGCUAUAGCCACUGCUCUUUCCAGAGCUAUGAGUGCCCACUGAGUGAGGUGAUCAUAAAGUAGCACUGUGGGAGAGAACCUGAUCUUGCCGCAAAUGAAGAUAGCAGCUAUAAGGUGACCAUAUCCUAUGUGUCCAAACUGACAGUCUAUUUGCAGCUCGGAAAGCACAAACAUUCUGAGAGAUGUCCAUCUACACAGGUGGGAGCCAGGGAAAGGAUAAGACCACCUCUGGAUGGCCCCACCCUCCAGCAAAGUCAAAUGAUGUUCAGAAGCUAAGGAAGAUGAGAACUGAGAAAAGGCCAUUUGACCUGGUAAUCUGGAGGAAGAGUUUCUCUCAAUUGGUGAAUGGAUGAACAAGGGACAUUUUGGCCUCAGGGGAAAAGUACUGAAUUUGAGACCAAGGGGACCUGAAUUCUAAUCCUGAUUCUGCUACUAACCAAGAGAGUUAUUACAAGAACAUAGUGACAAAAGGGAGAUUUUCAACCUUCCUACCCUGUGAGUAUCUGUCCCAUCCUCAUCAACCUGCAGAUUCCUUAAAAAUCUCACUGCUCCUACAGGUGUUACAAUAAACCUUGCCACCAUGACUGAAA